rnacentral:snRNA from 1 species
AAAAAGGGCUUCUGCCGUGCGUGGCACGGGGGGGUCUUGCGGCCGCCCCCGCGGAAUCGACAUCAAGAGAUUUCGGAAGCACAAUUUUUGCAGUGGGGGUCG